rnacentral:rRNA from 1 species
CCCUUAGAUGUUCUGGGCCGCACGCGCGCUACACUGGUGCGUUCAACAAGUUUACAACCUUGAUUGACAAGUCUGGGUAAUCUUUUGAAUGCGCACCGUGCUAGGGAUAGAUUAUUGCAAUUAUUAAUCUUGAACGAGGAAUUCCUAGUAAACGCAAGUCAUCAGCUUGCAUUGAUUACGUCCCUGCCCUUUGUACACACCGCCCGUCGCUGCCCGGGACUGAGCCGUUUCGAGAAAAGCGGGGACUGCUGCUGUCGGGGCUUUCGGGCCUUGGCUUCGGUGGAAACCGCUUUAAUCGCAGUGGCUUGAACCGGGCAAAAGUCGUAACA